rnacentral:rRNA from 1 species
AUUGAACGCUGGCGGCAUGCUUUACACAUGCAAGUCGAACGGCAGCGCGGUCUUCGGCCUGGCGGCGAGUGGCGAACGGGUGAGUAAUGCAUCGGAACGUGCCCCGUAGUGGGGGGUAGCCCGGCGAAAGCCGGAUUAAUACCGCAUACGACCUGAGGGUGAAAGCGGGGGGGCGAAGGACCUCUCGCUAUUGGAGCGGCCGAUGUCGGAUUAGCUAGUUGGUGGGGUAAAGGCUUACCAAGGCGACGAUCCGUAGCUGGUCUGAGAGGACGACCAGCCACACUGGGACUGGGACACGGCCCAGACUACUACGGGAGGCAGCAGUGGGGAAUGGUGGACAGUGGGGGCAACCAUGAUCCAGCCAUGCCGCGUGCGAGAAGAAGGCGUUCGGGUUGUAAACCGCUUUUGUUCGGGAAGAAAUCCUCUGGGCUAAUACCCCGGGGGGAUGACGGUACCGGAAGAAUAAGCACCGGCUAACUACGUG